CCCUCUCUAAUUAGGCUGGGGAGAGCCGCGGAGGCGCCGGGCUGAGGUGCGAGCGAGGCGGCCGGGCCGAGCCAAGAGCAACCCUGACCUGGUGAAAAUUAGAAAUACUGCAAUGCAAAGCAUACUGCAGCACCUCUUGAAAGGGAAUUGCCAGAAUUUAAUUGCAUCCUCCUCUUCUUAAACAAGUUCAAAAUAGGCUUUCAUACCUAGAGGCGAUUUUUUGGUUAUUGGGAAAUGACACAGUAGAUGCCCUGCAAGCCAGUUUCCCCCACACUCAUAAGAAAAAAGGUCAAUGGACAGAGAGGGAGUGGAGUUCCCUAAAAAAAGCCUUUGUGCUUUCAGCCAUCAGACCCUCAUCAUUGCAGGGACUGCCUGGUGGAUCUGCCUCCUGGAGUGGUGGUCCUCAUGGACAAAUCCCCGGCCCAGACUGGUCCCCUGUGCUUUCCCCAUGCCCUUGGCUCCCAGCAGCACUGGUGCACCAAGGCUGCGUCCCUGGGGCUCUGCCCCAGCACAUCCUGCCUCCUAGAAGGCAAGCUGGUGACUGCAGGGAACAGAAACAGCUGUCUAAGGCUGCCAGCUCUGCCAGGCUGAUGGCAAAGGAACUGCAUCAAAUAAGGGAAAUUGACUCCUUGAUAUGUUAUGUUUUUAAAAUGGCCUGUGAUGUUACAUGAUAAGUUGUUUUAGGGCUUGUAGGUCAUUAGCUCAGAGGAUCUGAAAAAAUAAUAUCUGAAGACAGACUUCUAAAGGAUUCCCUUUAAAUAGCUUAUUCAGUGAGAAUGAAAAAACAUCAAACUAAAAUUAUUGCAGAACACCGAUUCCCAUCUCUUUUACACUGUGGAAGUGUCAGUGUGCAAGAUGGAAACUCGAGCCCACUGGGACAGUAAAUAUUUUGAAUCUGUGUUUUUUUGCAAGAUGGAAGAAAACAAAGCAGCUGCCCACAAGGCUUCUUCUGCUCUGAGUACCAUGGCAACUCCACCAGUGAAGGGAGUUUUGGUCCAUUGCUUGGCAGUACCUUGAAAAGUAUACUUGGAGGUAUAAGUCAUCUAAAUACUAAUGAAAUUUAGCCACUUUUUGGAUGGCCUAUCUCAUACAUUUUUUUACUUUCUUCUUUUUCCUUCAAAAUUUAAAAGGAACUUUGAUUUUGUUAGUGUUUGUAUUCAAUAUUUGUCCUCCAUUAAGACGGUAUUGAUAUAAUUUGGCAUGCAUGCUGUUCUUAAGUCACCGAAAAGAGUGGUAAAGAGCACUGAAUAACACUGUUUGCCAUGGAUCUGAAAAUGUAUAAAUAUUAAUAUAUUUAUUUAAUGUAAGAAAAUGAAUAGGCAGGAUACAUUUUGAUACACAGUUCUGAAAUUUGGCUCUUUGUCUAAAGCCAAUGUAAAAAAUAAAUGGGUUUUAAGCCUA